UGGCUGUUCGCCAUUUAAAGUGGUACGCGAGCUGGGUUUAGAACGUCGUGAGACAGUUCGGUCCCUAUCUGCCGUGGGCGCUGGAGAAUUGAGGGGGGCUGCUCCUAGUACGAGAGGACCGGAGUGGACGCAUCACUGGUGUUCGGGUUGUCAUGCCAAUGGCACUGCCCGGUAGCUAAAUGCGGAAGAGAUAAGUGCUGAAAGCAUCUAAGCACGAAACUUGCCCCGAGAUGAGUUCUCCCUGAGACUAUAAGUCUCCUGAAGGAACGUUAAAGACGAUGACGUUGAUAGGCCGGGUGUGUAAGCGCAGCGAUGCGUUGAGCUAACCGGUACUAAUGAACCGUGAGGCUUAACCUUACAACGCCGAAG
rnacentral:rRNA from 1 species